AACGCUGGCGGCGUGCUUAACACAUCCAAGUCGAGCGAGGCCCGCUCUUCGGGGUGGUNCCCUAACGGCGAACGGGUGAGUAACACGUGGGCAACCUGCCCUCAGCUCUGGGAUAACUCCAAGAAAUUGGUGCUAAUACCGGAUGUGACCGCUGACCGCAUGGUCUGGUGGUGGAAAGAUUCAUCGACUGAGGAUGGGCCCGCGGCCUAUCAGCUUGUUGGUGGGGUGAUGGCCUACCAAGGCGACGACGGGUAGCCGACCUGAGAGGGUGACCGGCCACACUGGGACUGAGACACGGCCCAGACUCCUACGGGAGGCAGCAGUGGGGAAUAUUGCGCAAUGGGCGGAAGCCUGACGCAGCGACGCCGCGUGGGGGAUGACGGCCUUCGGGUUGUAAACCUCUUUCAGUAGGGACGAAGCGCAAGUGACGGUACCUACAGAAGAAGCACCAGCCAACUACGUGCCAGCAGCCGCGGUAAUACGUAGGGUGCAAGCGUUGUCCGGAAUUAUUGGGCGUAAAGAGCUCGUAGGCGGUCUGUCGCGUCGGCUGUGAAAACCCGAGGCUCAACCUCGGGCCUGCAGUCGAUACGGGCAAACUAGAGUGUUGCAGGGGAGACUGGAAUUCCUGGUGUAGCGGUGAAAUGCGCAGAUAUCAGGAGGAACACCGGUGGCGAAGGCGGGUCUCUGGGCAACAACUGACGCUGAGGAGCGAAAGCGUGGGGAGCGAACAGGAUUAGAUACCCUGGUAGUCCACGCCGUAAACGUUGGGCGCUAGGUGUGGGGGCCAUUCCACGGUCUCCGUGCCGCAGCUAACGCAUUAAGCGCCCCGCCUGGGGAGUACGGCCGCAAGGCUAAAACUCAAAGGAAUUGACGGGGGCCCGCACAAGCGGCGGAGCAUGUUGCUUAAUUCGAUGCAACGCGAAGAACCUUACCUAGGCUUGACAUGCACGGAAAUCUGUCAGAGAUGGCAGGUCCUUUGGGGUCGUGCACAGGUGGUGCAUGGUUGUCGUCAGCUCGUGUCGUGAGAUGUUGGGUUAAGUCCCGCAACGAGCGCAACCCUCGUUCUAUGUUGCCAGCGGAUAAUGCCGGGGACUCAUAGGAGACUGCCGGGGUCAACUCGGAGGAAGGUGGGGAUGACGUCAAAUCAUCAUGCCCCUUAUGUCUAGGGCUGCAAACAUGCUACAAUGGCCGGUACAAAGGGCUGCGAUACCGUGAGGUGGAGCGAAUCCCAAAAAGCCGGUCUCAGUUCGGAUUGGGGUCUGCAACUCGACCCCAUGAAGUUGGAGUCGCUAGUAAUCGCAGAUCAGCAACGCUGCGGUGAAUACGUUCCCGGGCCUUGUACACACCGCCCGUCACGUCACGAAAGUCGGUAACGCCCGAAGCCGGUGGCCCAACCCCUUUGUGGGAGGGAGCCGUCGAAGGCGGGAUCGGCGAUUGGGACGAAGUCGUAACAAGGUAGCCGUA
rnacentral:rRNA from 1 species